GGUUCGAUGGCGUAGUUGGUUAUCGCAUCUGUCUAACAUGUAAGUCUGCAGUGUUCCACAGAAGGUCCCCAGUUCGAGCCUGGGUCGAAUCA